rnacentral:guide_RNA from 1 species
AUAAUUAACGCAAAUGGGGGGUGUAAACUGACAUAGAAACGUGAUAAUAAAU